rnacentral:rRNA from 1 species
UACGUAGGGUGCGAGCGUUAAUCGGAAUUACUGGGCGUAAAGCGUGCGCAGGCGGUUUUGUAAGCCAGAUGUGAAAUCCCCGGGCUUAACCUGGGAAUGGCAUUUGGGACUGCAAGGCUGGAGUGUGGCAGAGGAGACUGGAAUUCCCGGUGUAGCAGUGAAAUGCGCAGAUAUCGGGAGGAACACCGGUGGCGAAGGCGGAUCUCUGGGCCAUUACUGACGCUGAGGAGCGAAAGCGUGGGGAGCGAA